rnacentral:tRNA from 1 species
GACGCAGUGCCUGAUAAAAGGGUCAUCUUGAUAGGGUGAAUCAUGCUUAAUUUUUUUUUGCUUGCGUUA